rnacentral:rRNA from 1 species
UGGGGAAUUUUGGACAAUGGGCGCAAGCCUGAUCCAGCCAUGCCGCGUGCGGGAAGAAGGCCUUCGGGUUGUAAACCGCUUUUGUCAGGGAAGAAAUCUUCUGAGUUAAUACCUCGGGAGGAUGACGGUACCUGAAGAAUAAGCACCGGCUAACUACGUGCCAGCAGCCGCGGUAAUACGUAGGGUGCAAGCGUUAAUCGGAAUUACUGGGCGUAAAGCGUGCGCAGGCGGUUUUGUAAGACAGAGGUGAAAUCCCCGGGCUCAACCUGGGAACUGCCUUUGUGACUGCAAGGCUUGAGUGCGGCAGAGGGGGGAUGGAAUUCCGCGUGUAGCAGUGAAAUGCGUAGAUAUGCGGAGGAACACCGAUGGCGAAGGCAAUCCCCUGGGCCUGCACUGACGCUCAUGCACGAAAGCGUGGGGAGCAAACAGGAUUAGAUACCCUGGUAGUCCACGCCCUAAACGAUGUCAACUGGUUGUUGGGAAGGUUCCUUCUCAGUAACGUAGCUAACGCGUGAA